AGUGAACGCUGGCGGUAGGCCUAACACAUGCAAGUCGAACGGCAGCACAGUAAGAGCUUGCUCUUACGGGUGGCGAGUGGCGGACGGGUGAGGAAUACAUCGGAAUCUACUUUUUCGUGGGGGAUAACGUAGGGAAACUUACGCUAAUACCGCAUACGACCUACGGGUGAAAGCAGGGGAUCUUCGGACCUUGCGCGAUUGAAUGAGCCGAUGUCGGAUUAGCUAGUUGGCGGGGUAAAGGCCCACCAAGGCGACGAUCCGUAGCUGGUCUGAGAGGAUGAUCAGCCACACUGGAACGUAGACACGGUCCAGACGCCUAAGAGAGGGAGCAGUGUGGAAUAUUGGACAACGGUCGCAAGCCUGAUCCAGUCAUACCGCGUGGGUGAAGGAGGCGUUCGGGUUGUAAAGACCUUUUGUUGGGAAAGAAAAGCAGCAGGUUAAUACCCCGCUGUUCUGACGGUACCCGAAGAAUAAGCACCGGCUAACUUCGUG
rnacentral:rRNA from 1 species